rnacentral:rRNA from 1 species
AUGAACGCUGGCGACGUGCCUAAUACAUGCAAGUCGCGCGAACAGACGAGGAGCUUGCUCCUCUGACGUUAGCGGCGGACGGGUGAGUAACACGUGGAUAACCUACCUAUAAGACUGGGAUAACUUCGGGAAACCGGAGCUAAUACCGGAUAAUAUAUUGAACCGCAUGGUUCAAUAGUGAAAGACGGUUUUGCUGUCACUUAUAGAUGGAUCCGCGCCGCAUUAGCUAGUUGGUAAGGUAACGGCUUACCAAGGCGACGAUGCGUAGCCGACCUGAGAGGGUGAUCGGCCACACUGGAACUGAGACACGGUCCAGACUCCUACGGGAGGCAGCAGUAGGGAAUCUUCCGCAAUGGGCGAAAGCCUGACGGAGCAACGCCGCGUGAGUGAUGAAGGUCUUCGGAUCGUAAAACUCUGUUAUUAGGGAAGAACAAAUGUGUAAGUAACUAUGCACGUCUUGACGGUACCUAAUCAGAAAGCCACGGCUAACUACGUG